GGGGCACACCUGUAGUCCCAGCUACUCGGGAGGCUGAGGCAUGAGAAUAGCUUGAACCCGAGGGGCGGAUGUUGUGGUGAGCCGAGAUCGCACCACCACACUCCAUCCUGGACGCAGAGCAAGACUCUUACCUUAAAAAAAAAAAAAAAAAAAAAAAAUGUUACCAUAAUCUACCUAUCCUAUCUUAGGUUUUGAAGCCUAAGAUACGUUUUAUAAUAAAUAGACUUAUUAAAACUAAUGUUUGCAAACAUUGCUAAACUUAACAAAUUGGCUAAGUUUCCCUUUGUUAACAAGCAAUCAGUUACGCUGAAGAAUUUGAAAAAUGCAAAUUAAAUUGUUUUUUGUUAUAUUCUGACACCCCAAAUUUAUUAGUUGGCCUUACUUUGUGGUUGUAGGGUGGGUUUAUCACAAGUCCUGGCCUUUGAGAAUGUAGCAUCUCACUAGCCUUAAUGAAUGUUAGAAGGGUGGAUGUAUGACUAGCCAGGUCAAUCAAAGC
rnacentral:lncRNA from 1 species